GCUAUACCGCAUACGUCCUACGGGAGAAGCAGGGGACCUUCGGGCCUUGCGCUAUCAGAUGAGCCUAGGUCGGAUUAGCUAGUUGGUGAGGUAAUGGCUCACCAAGGCGACGAUCCGUAACUGGUCUGAGAGGAUGAUCAGUCACACUGGAACUGAGACACGGUCCAGACUCCUACGGGAGGCAGCAGUGGGGAAUAUUGGACAAUGGGCGAAAGCCUGAUCCAGCCAUGCCGCGUGUGUGAAGAAGGUCUUCGGAUUGUAAAGCACUUUAAGUUGGGAGGAAGGGCAGUAAGUUAAUACCUUGCUGUUUUGACGUUACCGACAGAAUAAGCACCGGCUAACUCUGUGCCAGCAGCCGCGGUAAUACAGAGGGUGCAAGCGUUAAUCGGAAUUACUGGGCGUAAAGCGCGCGUAGGUGGUUCGUUAAGUUGGAUGUGAAAGCCCCGGGCUCAACCUGGGAACUGCAUCCAAAACUGGCGAGCUAGAGUACGGUAGAGGGUGGUGGAAUUUCCUGUGUAGCGGUGAAAUGCGUAGAUAUAGGAAGGAACACCAGUG
rnacentral:rRNA from 1 species